rnacentral:rRNA from 1 species
UACGGAGGGGGCUAGCGUUGUUCGGAAUUACUGGGCGUAAAGCGCACGUAGGCGGCUUUGUAAGUUAGAGGUGAAAGCCCAGAGCUUAACUCCGGAAUUGCCUUUAAGACUGCAUCGCUAGAAUCGUGGAGAGGUGAGUGGAAUUCCGAGUGUAGAGGUGAAAUUCGUAGAUAUUCGGAAGAACACCAGUGGCGAAGGCGACUCACUGGACACGUAUUGACGCUGAGGUGCGAAAGCGUGGGGAGCAAACAGG